rnacentral:rRNA from 1 species
AGGCGUAGUCGAUGGGAAACAGGUUAAUAUUCCUGUACUCGGUGUUACUGCGAAGGGGGGACGGAGAAGGCUAUAUCGGCCGGGCGACGGUUGUCCCGGUUUAAGCGUGUAGGCGGAGUGUCCAGGUAAAUCCGGACGCUUGUUAACGCUGAGGCGUGACGACGAGGCACUACGGUGCUGAAGUGAUAAAUGCCCAGCUUCCAGGAAAAGCCUCUAAGC